rnacentral:rRNA from 1 species
AAAUUGAAGAGUUUGAUCAUGGCUCAGAUUGAACGCUGGCGGCAGGCCUAACACAUGCAAGUCGAACGGUAACAGGAAGAAGCUUGCUUCUUUGCUGACGAGUGGCGGACGGGUGAGUAAUGUCUGGGAAACUGCCUGAUGGAGGGGGAUAACUACUGGAAACGGUAGCUAAUACCGCAUAACGUCGCAAGACCAAAGAGGGGGAUCUUCGGGCCUCUUGCCAUCGGAUGUGCCCAGAUGGGAUUAGCUAGUAGGUGGGGUAACGGCUCACCUAGGCGACGAUCCCUAGCUGGUCUGAGAGGAUGACCAGCCACACUGGAACUGAGACACGGUCCAGACUCCUACGGGAGGCAGCAGUGGGGAAUAUUGCACAAUGGGCGCAAGCCUGAUGCAGCCAUGCCGCGUGUAUGAAGAAGGCCUUCGGGUUGUAAAGUACUUUCAGCGGGGAGGAAGGGAGUAAAGUUAAUACCUUUGCUCAUUGACGUUACCCGCAGAAGAAGCACCGGCUAACUCCGUGCCAGCAGCCGCGGUAAUACGGAGGGUGCAAGCGUUAAUCGGAAUUACUGGGCGUAAAGCGCACGCAGGCGGUUUGUUAAGUCAGAUGUGAAAUCCCCGGGCUCAACCUGGGAACUGCAUCUGAUACUGGCAAGCUUGAGUCUCGUAGAGGGGGGUAGAAUUCCAGGUGUAGCGGUGAAAUGCGUAGAGAUCUGGAGGAAUACCGGUGGCGAAGGCGGCCCCCUGGACGAAGACUGACGCUCAGGUGCGAAAGCGUGGGGAGCAAACAGGAUUAGAUACCCUGGUAGUCCACGCCGUAAACGAUGUCGACUUGGAGGUUGUGCCCUUGAGGCGUGGCUUCCGGAGCUAACGCGUUAAGUCGACCGCCUGGGGAGUACGGCCGCAAGGUUAAAACUCAAAUGAAUUGACGGGGGCCCGCACAAGCGGUGGAGCAUGUGGUUUAAUUCGAUGCAACGCGAAGAACCUUACCUGGUCUUGACAUCCACAGAACUUUCCAGAGAUGGAUUGGUGCCUUCGGGAACUGUGAGACAGGUGCUGCAUGGCUGUCGUCAGCUCGUGUUGUGAAAUGUUGGGUUAAGUCCCGCAACGAGCGCAACCCUUAUCCUUUGUUGCCAGCGGUCCGGCCGGGAACUCAAAGGAGACUGCCAGUGAUAAACUGGAGGAAGGUGGGGAUGACGUCAAGUCAUCAUGGCCCUUACGACCAGGGCUACACACGUGCUACAAUGGCGCAUACAAAGAGAAGCGACCUCGCGAGAGCAAGCGGACCUCAUAAAGUGCGUCGUAGUCCGGAUUGGAGUCUGCAACUCGACUCCAUGAAGUCGGAAUCGCUAGUAAUCGUGGAUCAGAAUGCCACGGUGAAUACGUUCCCGGGCCUUGUACACACCGCCCGUCACACCAUGGGAGUGGGUUGCAAAAGAAGUAGGUAGCUUAACCUUCGGGAGGGCGCUUACCACUUUGUGAUUCAUGACUGGGGUGAAGUCGUAACAAGGUAACCGUAGGGGAACCUGCGGUUGGAUCACCUCCUUACCUUAAAGAAGC